rnacentral:lncRNA from 1 species
AGGCCAGGGGGAGUGGGGCACCAGACAGGGAAGAGUGCACACCAAGCUUUCAUCCCUGGGACCUGGACGGCUCCUCUAGCUCUCACCGUGCCAUCCCCCUAAGCCAGGGGCUGGGGAAGAACUUGUCUCCCGCUGGUAGCUAUCUCCAAGAGAAGCCGGGAAAUA